rnacentral:lncRNA from 10 species
ACAAGUCUGUCUUCUCUUUAAUGCCUCAUUUGUCUUGGCACAAAGACACAUGAUUAGGCUCAGAGUGGCAUGUUUUGGCAAGGAGAGAAUGGGCAAGGGGUCAUCGAUGGACCGGAGAUGGGAUGGUAGGGACAGAAACUGCAGGGUCCGCAGAAGGAACUGCUCACCGAAAGCCAACAAGCUUGCCCUGUGGAAUCCCAGAAAGGCCCAGGAACUUCGGGACAUCACUGAAGGCAGAGUGAAGAGAGGAAGAGAAGACAGAGAAAUGGAGGGGAGAAAACUAUUAAAAUAAGUAAUAAGAAAACUUUCCCCAGAAGUGCAGAAUCUGAAUUUCCAGUAUAAAAGGGUCCAUUGAGCGCCAAGAACAAUGAAGGAAAAAAGGUCCCACUCAGGCCUACGUAUCAUUGUGAAAUUUCAGAACUAGAGGGAUAAAGAAAAGAUCCUAAAAGCUUCCCGAGAGAUAAAAAAGAAGAUUUUUACAAAGGAUCAGCAAUCAGAAUUGCCUCAGACUGCUCAAUAAAAACAUCAGAAGCUAGAAGAAAAUAGAAUGAGGCAUCAAAAUCCUGAGGGAAAUGAUUCCCACCUAUAAUUUCAUAUUCUGCUCAAUUAUCAAUUGAGUAUUGAAGGGAAAUAAAGACAUUUUUAGACA